GGGCGCUUGGUCUAGGGGUAUGAUUUUCGCUUCGCACCUUCCAGCCGAUGCUGUGUUCACGAAGUGUUCCAGUGUUAAUUGAGUUGCGCCUUUGUGAAAGGUCGUGGGUUCAAUUCCCACAGUGUCCA
rfam:Colletotrichum gloeosporioides Cg-14 contig00353, whole genome shotgun sequence.